CUCAGAACAGGAUCUAUAUGCAGGAGGCAGCAAACACGAGCAUUUUUUUUAAAUGUUUAUUUUUUGAGAGAGACACACAGAUCUGAAGAGUACACGUCUCAAC